rnacentral:ribozyme from 1 species
UGCCCAGCAACUCCUAUCCCUACCUCCUCGUGGUAUCCGCCGCAAACUACGAACAACCUUAGGGAACUUUGGUCGUAGUCUGACAGGGAAGG